rnacentral:rRNA from 1 species
CUGAACCAGCCAAGUAGCGUGAAGGAUGACUGCCCUAUGGGUUGUAAACUUCUUUUAUAUGGGAAUAAAGUGAGCCACGUGUGGCUUUUUGUAUGUACCAUACGAAUAAGGAUCGGCUAACUCCGUGCCAGCAGCCGCGGUAAUACGGAGGAUCCGAGCGUUAUCCGGAUUUAUUGGGUUUAAAGGGAGCGUAGGUGGACUGGUAAGUCAGUUGUGAAAGUUUGCGG